GUGCCAGCCGCCGCGGUAAUACGUAGGGUGCGAGCGUUAAUCGGAAUUACUGGGCGUAAAGCGUGCGCAGGCGGUUUUGUAAGUCUGUCGUGAAAGCCCCGGGCUCAACCUGGGAAUUGCGAUGGAGACUGCAAGGCUUGAAUCUGGCAGAGGGGGGUAGAAUUCCACGUGUAGCAGUGAAAUGCGUAGAGAUGUGGAGGAACACCGAUGGCGAAGGCAGCCCCCUGGGUCAAGAUUGACGCUCAUGCACGAAAGCGUGGGGAGCAAACAGGAUUAGAAACCCGCGUAGUCC
rnacentral:rRNA from 1 species